rnacentral:rRNA from 1 species
UACGUAGGGUGCAAGCAUUAAUCGGAUUUAUUGGGCGUAAAGGGCGCGUAGGCGGGCAUGUAAGUCAGAUGUGAAAUCCCGGGGCUCAACCCCGGAACAGCAUUUGAAACUGCAUUUCUAGAGGGUAGGCGGAGAAAACGGAAUUCCACAAGUAGCGGUGAAAUGCGUAGAUAUGUGGAAGAACACCAGUGGCGAAGGCGGUUUUCUAGCUUAUACCUGACGCUGAUGCGCGAAAGCAAGGGGAGCAAACAGG